rnacentral:rRNA from 1 species
CCUACGGGAGGCUGCAGUGGGGGAUAUUGGACAAUGGGCGAAAGCCUGAUCCAGCCAUGCCGCGUGUGUGAAGAAGGCCUUCGGGUUGUAAAGCACUUUCAGUGGGGAAGAAAGCCUUGGGGCUAAUACCCUCGAGGAAGGACAUCACCCACAGAAGAAGCACCGGCUAACUCCGUGCCAGCAGCCGCGGUAAUACGGAGGGUGCGAGCGUUAAUCGGAAUUACUGGGCGUAAAGCGCGCGUAGGCGGUCUGAUAAGCCGGUUGUGAAAGCCCCGGGCUCAACCUGGGAACGGCAUCCGGAACUGUCAGGCUAGAGUGCAGGAGAGGAAGGUAGAAUUCCCGGUGUAGCGGUGAAAUGCGUAGAGAUCGGGAGGAAUACCAGUGGCGAAGGCGGCCUUCUGGACUGACACUGACGCUGAGGUGCGAAAGCGUGGGUAGCAAACAGGAUUAGAUACCCCAGUAGUC